rnacentral:rRNA from 1 species
UACGAGAGGCCCAAACGUUAUUCGGAUUUACUGGGCUUAAAGAGUUCGUAGGCGGCGCGGAAAGUAGGGUGUGAAAGCCCUCGGCUCAACCGAGGAAUUGCGCUCUAAACUACCGUGCUUGAGGAAGCUAGAGGUGAGCGGAACUGAUGGUGGAGCGGUGAAAUGCGUUGAUAUCAUCAGGAACACCGGAGGCGAAGGCGGCUCACUGGGGCUUUUCUGACGCUGAGGAACGAAAGCCAGGGGAGCAAACGGG